UACGGGGGGAGCAAGCGUUGUUCGGAUUUACUGGGCGUAAAGGGCGGGUAGGCGGCCACCGCAAGUCGACUGUGAAAUCUCCGGGCUUAACCCGGAAAGGUCAGCCGAUACUGCGGGGCUAGAGUGCAGAAGGGGCAACUGGAAUUCUCGGUGUAGCGGUGAAAUGCGUAGAUAUCGAGAGGAACACCUGGGGCGAAGGCGGCCGGCUGGGCCGACCCUGACGCUGAGGCGCGAAAGCUAGGGGAGCGAACGGG
rnacentral:rRNA from 1 species